GCUGUUGACUGGACGGUCGCGAUCUGGUCCCUGAUUCAAACCAGAUCGAGGAAAGUCCGGGCUCCGGUGGACAAGUCGCCAGGUAACUCCUGGGCGGAUCGCAAGGUCCGACGGACAGUGCCACAGAAAACAACCGCCUUCGGAAACCGGAGGUAAGGGUGAAAAGGUGGGGUAAGAGCCCACCGCAUUCGUGGUGACACGGAUGGCUAGGUAAACCCCGACUGGAGCAAGGCCAAAUAGGCGGCGAGGGUGUCCACCCCGACAAAGCCGCGGGUAGGCCGCUAGAGGGUGCGGGUGACCGUACUCCGAGAGGAAUGAUCGUCGAAGCAGUUCGCUGCUGGACAGAACCCGGCUUAUAGGUCAACAGCUCGG
rnacentral:RNase_P_RNA from 1 species